rnacentral:lncRNA from 1 species
CCCCAGGUACGAGAACCUUUAAAUAAUUCAUUACAUGAUAGAUAAAGUAAUAUCUCAUACAAAAGUUUAUUUAUUACAAAACAUCUACUUAUUACAGAUAGCCGUCUUCAACUAUUCAUUCACCUUCUUCUUUCCCUUAUCUUUGUCAGAUCCUUCUGCGCGUUCACGCUUCACUGAAAACAUUUAAUUUUCAAAGUAAGAAUGAACAUUCAAUUGCUCAGCAAAUAAUAGCAUGCAAUAAUCAAUAUAUGAAAGAGUUAAAAGUUAUCUUUGAGGAUUUUUCUACAACGGAUCAAUAAUUGUAAAGUCAUUGAAUCAAUUUUCGAAUAACAAACCAAAUAGCUUGCAUUUUUGAAACGACAUAAUGACUAUAGAUGUCGAGCAGUCAUUAGACCUUGAACUUUGUUUUUCAUGUUCAUAAUAGGUAUAAUAGUAAUUCAACUGUAUAACCGACUAACUCUCGGGCACGAUGGGUGAUCAGCCAUUUAUGCCCUGCGUUGAUCAACAUUACAUGCUAGUUUUCAUUCGACAUAGUAAAAGUUUCCCAAUAAGGGAUGUUCAUAAUCAGAUCUGAGAUCCAAACCAAAACAAUUUGGUUGGACAUCUCUACUCAAUUGAAUCAAUAAGAUAAAGACUUGUGAUGAACUAUUGUAAUGUGAAUCAAGCUGAAACAAUUAGCUUAGAUUCAUCUUUGAACAAUUCAAAAAUUUUAGAACUUGAAGUAAUAAAGAAAUUUGCAUAUCAAUGUCAAAUUGUACAAGUUAAAGAAUUUGCUCAAGCAUACAAAUAUAAUUUACUUGCUCAAAUUCAAAUAAGUCAGGAAAACUUGCUUCAUACCAAACUCAAACAAUCUAUAGAAAGGAUACUUGCAAAAAUAGAAGGAAAUUUGAUUAAGUAUCAUCAACUCAAGAUAUUUUCCAAGAUAAAAACAAGUUUGAGAUUCUCGUGAAAUAAUAAACCUCUUAUAUAAAAAAAAGGCAUAAAUUAGGGAUACUUGCUCGUACAAACUUUAAAAAGUUAUGGAUAAGAAACUUGUCUUGAGCGUAGUUUACGAUUACCGCUUAAUUCUAUUUCAAAAUAUCCUAUAUAUUCACGUAUAAUCGUACAUUAGUUAUUAUAUAGUUCAAGUAUAUAUAUCAAAUUCACAUUUUUUGUUAGUACAUAAUGCACAUAUUCAGUCAUAUGCAAUAAUCAUACAUUGCUUAUGCACUUGCUACACAUAAACCACAUGUUUGCAUGCAUACUUAUUUUCCAUUUUGAAAACUAUUCUCCUUUAUUAGAAAUCUUUUAGUAAUAGUUGUAUAUGUGAUCAGUUUUAAAUAUACUUAUUGACAUACAACAAGACUCAAGAGAUUCAUCCAAACAUGCAUCAUACUUCAGAUAUAAACUGUCUUGGUGGUUUUGCAGAGCAGCGCAGCUGCGCUGCUCUUCGGUUUGGGAGUGGCGCAGCUGCGCUACUCCCUGUCCAGUCUAAACUUGAGCUAUUCAAUGCAUAGAUCUAGUAUUUAAAGCAUGCUAAAACUUUAUAACGCGCGCUCACAUGUACACAUGAUUUAAGAGUGUAUAUCAGUUUUGGGUUCCUAUUUUAAGCUUGCUUUAAAUUUACUUUUUAAAAAUCAUUUUCCUUUCUUUUUGAAAUCACAUCAGGCUCAAGUAUAUAUACUCGUGCUUCAUUAGCUCAUCUACUUAAAAUUCAAGAUAACUUUUGUUUGAAAACUUAUCCUAAUCAUGCUUACGCAACUAGUUUCAUGCAAAACAAUCUUGGACACUAUAUCAGACUUGAUUUUAUGCUUAUACAACUUCAUUAUACCUGCCCAGAACUUUAGAACACAAGGAAAACUAUUUUUGAAUUCUGGAGACCAGCGUAGCUGCUCUGGUAUUGGCUUGGGAAGUGGCGCAGCUGCGUCAGUUUGAGUUCAGACCCGGACAGAGCUCUGUUCCCAUUUAAAUAUAAUUAAAAUUAUAGUCCAUGGACUAUCAAAUUCUUAGAUUUAGUCUUGUUGGUUUUUCAAAUAUAGUCACAGACUAUAUUUAGUCUACCUGCCGGAGCUGGUCUUAUUGUGCUGCUGGAGUUUAUCAAUAUGCUUCUGGGUUGCUAUCUUAUUGCUCCAGAUAAACAGAAACAUAAACUUUUACCAUAUUGCUAUAAUCAAAUACCAUACACAUCAAUUUCAAACUAAUUUCCAUAAAAACCAAAUUACAAUGAUAUAUAUCCACUUAUAUUCAUAUAUAUCAUAAUUCUAACUAACAGACAUAAACACAUAGAUAGAUUACCUCUUAUCCACUUAAAUUCUAGGCAAUUGUUGCUUCAAUUACAUCAAUUUCCUUCCUCAAUUUCAAUCACUUUCUAAUUUCAACUUGCUUACAUGCUUGAGUUGAUGUAUGAAAUGAAACACAUGAGAAGAGGAACUGAAUAUGGGAAGCUUGGCUUUUAUAGAAAAAUUUUCUUGUUCCUUAC